rnacentral:rRNA from 1 species
AGAGUUUGAUCAUGGCUANAUUGAACGCUGGCGGCAUGCUUUACACAUGCAAGUCGAACGGUAACAGGGUGCUUGCACCGCUGACGAGUGGCGAACGGGUGAGUAAUGCAUCGGAACGUACCCAGUCGUNGGGGGAUAACNGUAGCGAAAGUUACGCUAAUACCGCAUACGUCCUGAGGGAGAAAGCGGGGGACCGUAAGGCCUCGCGCGAUUGGAGCGGCCGAUGUCGGAUUAGCUAGUUGGUAGGGUAAAGGUCUACCAAGGCGACGAUCCGUAGCGGGUCUGAGAGGAUGAUCCGCCACACUGGGACUGAGACCGGCCCAGACUCCUACGGGAGGCAGCAUGUGGGGAAUUUUGGACAUGGGCCAAAGCUGAUCCAGCCAUGCCGCGUGAGUGAAGAAGGCCUUCGGGUUGUAAAUUCUUUAGCCGGAAGAGUCGCCCGGGAUACUCUCUGUGUGGAUAG